ensembl:lncRNA
CAGAGUUAGAGAGGCUGACUCUGCUGGAGAGGAAGUGGAGGAGGGGUCUGGACAGACAAAACAAUGGAGCCACAACGUGCCUCCUGUUCCCAUUCAGAUACCAAAGGCACAGGUUCUAAAGAUUGAGGGAAAUGCUAGAUCAAGGAUCUUUGCAGACGUAAUUUGCUGAGGAUCUCAAGAUGAAAUCAUCCUGAAUUUAAGGUUAGCAGUGAAUCCAAUGACUGGUGUCCUUACAAGAAGAGGAGAGGACACACAGAGACACACAAAGAUGAAGACCACGUGAAGAUGAAGUCAGAGAUUGGAGUGUUGCAGCUACAACUCAAGGAACACUUGGAACCACUAAAAGGCAUUGUUCCCAAGAACACUCACCAAUUCAAUUCUUCUGUGCUAAUUCCCAUCUCAGAGUCUCCUUCCAAGGGACUCAACUUGCAACAAUGGCAGGGGUGGUCUAAGAAAACAGAUGUUCAUAUGGGAUUUUGAAGCUGCCACCCACCAGCCAGCCAGCAGUGAGGACCCUGAUCUUCAGAAGAAGGAGGGCAGUUGCCACAUAAUGGAAGAGAAGAAUGUGAUGGCAUCCUGGUGAUCCACUAGGGUGCCUCUUUACUUUCCCUUGCUCAUCCUGAUGAUAAAAGGAUAAAUGCAACAGUCAUGCUUAAGAAGGGUAUGGAGAUCAGGAACUCAGAGGUCUCAGGAAUAAGGAUCCAAGUCAUGCCAACAGGUAAACCAUCUACUCAACAAAGAUGGUGGCUGAGAAUGAGGCAAUCUAGAAUGGGUAGUACAUGAUGAGUAUCUACUCAUCAAGCAGUUGUGGCCCCAACGGCUUGGGCUCCAACUACUUACAGCCAGGGCUGUAACUUAUCCUACUAGCCUUCUUAUCCAUUUUCCCCAGGAAAAGAGGUCCAACACAAUUUUGGAGGAACUCUUCCCAGAAUUUACAUGGAGAAGUGGAUUUGGGCAGUGCAAAUGGCGGACCAUAGUGGAAGCUGUGAUGUGCCACUCUGGCCCCUUUAAGACUGAAGGACUUAUUUCUCCAGCUAUUGAGGGCACUAUUGGCUACAGGUCUCAGUAAUUACCCUAGGUUGGAGAGUUCUGCCUUCCACAGACUCAUGCCUCCUCCCUAGGGCAACCCAGAUCCAAUAACUGGUCAGUGUGUAAUAUUAAGACCCAGACUCCUCAACUUAUCUCAGGACAACAUUAAAGGGCGUCACAGCUUCCGGGUCCCCAAAGGGUUGGCCUAGUCUUUGUUGAAACUACGUCACAGCCCAAUUUCUUCCUCUGUCCCAUACUGACUGCUUCUUUCUCUUCCUUUCCACAAUGGUGAUCCCAAGAGUGCUCCCUACAAAACUUCCCUCACGCUAGUCUCCAUCCCAGAGUCUGUUUCCCAGGAAACCCAUCCUUCAACAAGAAUAUUAUAGAAACACCUGAUGAAAUUUGAAUAUAGACUCUUGAUUAGAUAAUGGGAUUGUAUCAGUGUUAAAUUUCCUGAUUUUUGACCAUAUACAGUGUUUUGGUUUUUUUCAAAGAUUUAAAAAUUUUUUUUUUCCUUUCUCUCCCAAAGCCCCCCGGUACAUAGUUGUGUAUUUUCUAGUUGUGGGUCCUUCUAGUUGUGGUACGUGGGACACUGCCCCAGCACAGCCCGAUGAGCAGUGCCAUGUCUGCGCCCAGGACUCGAACCAGCAAAACCCUGGGCUGCCUAAGCAGAGCACGGGAGCUCAACCACUCAGCCACAGGGCUGGCCUCCCAUAUGCAGUGUUUAUAUAAGAGAAUGCCUUUGUUCUUAGGAAACACACACUGGCGUAUACAGGGAUAAAGGCACACAAUAUCUACAACUUAAUCUCAACUGAUUUAGAAAAAAAUGUACAUGGAGAGGUGGAGGAUCAGAGAGAGAAAGAAGAAACUAGGGCAAAAUGUAAACAAUUAGUGAAUCUG